rfam:Stegodyphus mimosarum contig98268, whole genome shotgun sequence.
GCCUUCGUGGUGCAAUGUUAGCACACUCGACACUUAUUCGAGAGGUCCAGGUUCGAGUCCCCUCGAGGGCA